rnacentral:piRNA from 1 species
UUUGGGUCAUUUUUUUACUACUG